rnacentral:tRNA from 1 species
GCUCCAGUGGCGCAAUCGGUUAGCGCGCGGKACUUAUAAUCAGUAUUUGAGCAAUCCCGAGGKUGCGAGUUCGAGUCUCGCCUGGRGCA